rnacentral:rRNA from 1 species
UACGUAGGGAGCAAGCGUUGUCCGGAAUCAUUGGGCGUAAAGCGCGCGUAGGUGGCCUCAUAAGUCCGCUGUGAAAGUCCAAGGCUCAACCUUGGAAAGCCGGUGGAUACUGUGAGGCUAGAGUACGGAAGAGGCGAGUGGAAUUCCUGGUGUAGCGGUGGAAUGCGCAGAUAUCAGGAGGAACACCGGUGGCGAAGGCGGUUCUCUGGGCAUGUCCUGACGCUGAGGAGCGAAAGUGUGGGGAGCGAACAGG